UCUAGGUAACACUCCAAUAAAGUAUAUUUCAGUCAUUGGUAACUUUUAAAAUAAAAGUUGUUCUUUACCUGAACACACAGAGAUAGUAAGAUGAGGUCAAAUAUAUUCAAAGUACAAAUAAAAAUGUCAAGCAACAAAUUUAACCGUCGAAUAUGUAAGAAAAAACAAGAAAUAAACUUUGGUGACAAAACACCAAUAUUAAUUUUCUCCAUAAAAUCCCACUACUUACUGUUUUCCCCUUUCUCCCAUUCAAACAUAUUUUCUCCACGAUGUGGGAAUUUCCCUAUGAGACGCGGAUGUGCUAAUGUUAUACAAACAUAAACUAAAUCCCCAAACAAAUAGUUCGUUCACAAUACAUAGGCGUGUGCUUGUGUAUAUGCAGUGGAGCAUGAGCAAUGAGCUGCAGAACUUUUGAGCAUGGGCACAAAAUCGAACAAAAAAAACUUAGGGUCGAUUUAGUCUAAAUUAUCUAGAACAGAAACAAUUGCGUUUUUUAAAAUAUCGUACAUGACAUUUAAGCGCAAUGGCAAUCAUAUUAUUAAAUUUUCUUUUACUUUGACAAACAAACUAAUGUUACUUGCUUUAAUUCAAUUUUAAAUUGGUGAAAUAAAUAAGUAUGAAGGAGUGGGAAGUAGAGACUAUGUAUAUUGCUACUAAUUUUAGAAGAAAAUGUGUGCAAUGGCUAGUUCGAAGGCCCGCUUUUACUUUUUCCUUACUCCUAAUCAGCAGUUUAACUAUUUUAUCUGCACUUAUGGUGGUUGCUAUUUCUCCCGUUGCAUUAAUUCUUGAUUAUUUAGGUGCUUUUAUUAACUCAGAUGGUGCGACGACAAUUUAUACUGUGCUUUUCAGUGGCUUCUUGUUAGCUGUAAUUAUUACAGCAGUGAUAAUGAUAAUAUUUCUAGUAAUAACUUGUACAAGCAUAAUUUAUUCUCAUAAGUCAUUUUUGAUAUAUAAACCAAAGAAAAAUAGCUAAGGACAAUAUAAUGCUAGAGAAUUAUUUGUUUGUACUGUAAUAAGAUAAUCUACAGGUGUCUUUAGUUAGUUUCCAUAUAAAUUGCAGUUUUUAAAAUGUAUCACCGUGUUAAUUAAAACUACUUUUCACCUCCGUGUGAAACCAUUUUUAAUUUUUUAUGAAACAAUUAUUACAAGUAAUAAACAAUUUAAAGAAGUAGCCUAGAUCACUCCUGACAACUUCCUGUUCAUGCCUAUAAGUUUCAUUGAAGUCGAUCCAGCACUUUUGAAAAUUAGUUCAUUUAGUGAAAAAAAAAAUUUAAAGGUGGUUUGUAUUAAUAAUCAUAUGAACUUAAAAAAGGCACAUUUCGAUAUUAUAUCAACAGAAACUAGAGUUUCAUUAUAAAUAAUCCAAUAAUAAGAUAGACUCGUAUUUUGCCCACUUCUAAUGUGAGAAUUAUCUACACAUGUCUGGCGUUAAUAGUUUUCACACUGUUAUUAUGAUAUUUUUCCAGGGAAUACAGUAUUUCAACGAAAAAGAAUGUUUAAAUUUAAGUUAUUAUCUGUGUGCAAGCAGUAAUACUUUUAAGUCUUAAAAACAGAAAACAAACAAUUUGUUUAAUUAAUUGAUAGCCACCCUGGAAUAAAAAUUAAAAUUAACGGUCAGGAAUCUAACUUAAAAUAUUAUAUUAAUUAUUAAUGUUUAUUAAAACAAGACUAAAACUACCAUUGAAGAAGUAUACCAUAAUGCAUAACCAUUACAUUUAAUCUUUUAUUCUAACCACAUAAAUUUAGAAGAAAAAGUAAAAGCAAGUACGAUUUGUUUUUAUUGUAGUUUUUUUUUUAAACUGAUCUAGUAGCUUAUCGAUUGUUGUGCAAGUCUGUAUUUUAAAGUUUACAAAGUAUAUAGAAGGUUUCAAUACAAUAGAAAAUAAAUUGAAACCAAAAGAUGAAGGCAUUUCAAACAAUUGUGGAUAUACUAAAUCGUAUUAUUACACAGUAUGAACAAUAUCAAUCACAUUACAAGAAUUCUGAAAUGAACAUCUUUUUGGAAAAUAUAAACGACUUGGUUUGCCUCAAAAGUAAAUGUGAAAUAAAUAAUGAAUAUACAUACAAUGAAUAAUCCAUUUGUAUAUUUAAAAAUUAAUUCAAAAAUCUUUUUUAGUUACUAUUAACGGGCAAAUGGUGCUACAUCUGUGCACUGAAACAAUCUUUAAAGACUUUUUAAAAGCAACUCCAAAUAUUUCUGUAAAAUUUGUCACUGCUAAAAUGUUAUCCAUUACAACUUCA